GCGCGGUUUUCUACCACUAGUUGUUAUGGUAGCAGUUUGGAACAAAACUUAAUCAAGAUAUAUGAAGCACCAAUGCAAACUGAUCUGAUGUCUAACGACGGACUCUCUCAACUACUACAGAUCUGCUUAAAAGUAGGCUCAUGAAAUCAUGAUCUGCUUAAUUUGUUAAUACUUUCUCGAGGACCAAAAAUGGUUUAAAAGAAAAACUAAUUGACGGAACAUCCUAGACAUGUUAAGCUGUACACGUAUGAUGAUGAUCUUGCGUUAAGAACUAACCCCUAAAAAAAACUUUGUUCUCAAGAUGCCGUUGCUGCUGCCGGGAGCUACAAGCGGACGCAGUCGAUGCCGUCGACCCCGACGACGCCGGGGACGCCGUCGUCGUCGACGACGCCGCGCGGCGGCAACAACGUGUGGCGCAGCGUGUUCCACCCCGGGAGCAACCUGGCCACCAAGAGCAUGGGCGCCAACCUCUUCGACCGCCCGCAGCCCAACUCCCCCACCGUCUACGACUGGUAAGCGCCGUCCAUGGUCUCAAUGCCCCGGCAUCUCUCUGCCGUCCUCGCCGUCCUUUGGUUUAUACUCCGUAUUAGUACUUAGCAGUAGGAUGAUCUCUACUUAGUAGUACUAUAUGGUUUGAUUGCUUACUAUAGUAGUACUAUGCUGAUCUGCCAAGGCUCAGAUCGAGCAGAGCAUCAAAGCAGGUGCCCUCUGAGACUUAGCUGAAUGAAUUAUUACUGUUUCUGUUUCAAACACCAGAAUAAGCAGGUCAACUAGCUAGUGAGCCAUGAGGUUAGCACUAAACUGAAUGGUUACUGUUUCUGUUUCAAGAAC
rnacentral:lncRNA from 1 species